rnacentral:rRNA from 1 species
UCGACGGCAGCACGGGUGCUUGCACCUGGUGGCGAGUGGCGAACGGGUGAGUAAUGCGUCGGAACGUACCGAGUAAUGGGGGAUAACGCAGCGAAAGUUGUGCUAAUACCGCAUACGCCCUGAGGGGGAAAGUGGGGGACCGCAAGGCCUCACGUUAUUCGAGCGGCCGACGUCUGAUUAGCUAGUUGGUGGGGUAAAGGCCUACCAAGGCGACGAUCAGUAGCGGGUCUGAGAGGAUGAUCCGCCACACUGGGACUGAGACACGGCCCAGACUCCUACGGGAGGCAGCAGUGGGGAAUUUUGGACAAUGGGGGCAACCCUGAUCCAGCCAUUCCGCGUGAGUGAAGAAGGCCUUCGGGUUGUAAAGCUCUUUCAGCUGGAACGAAACGGUACGCGCUAACAUCGUGUGCUAAUGACGGUACCGGCAGAAGAAGCACCGGCUAACUACGUGCCAGCAGCCGCGGUAAUACGUAGGGUGCGAGCGUUAAUCGGAAUUACUGGGCGUAAAGCGUGCGCAGGCGGAUUGUUAAGCAAGACGUGAAAUCCCCGGGCUUAACCUGGGAAUGGCGUUUUGAACUGGCAGUCUAGAGUGCGUCAGAGGGGGGUGGAAUUCCACGUGUAGCAGUGAAAUGCGUAGAGAUGUGGAGGAACACCGAUGGCGAAGGCAGCCCCCUGGGAUGACACUGACGCUCAUGUA